AGAGUUUGAUCCUGGCUCAGGAGGAACGCUAGCGGCGUGCCUAAGACAUGCAAGUCGUACGAGUGCAAGUUUACUUGCGCUAGUGGCGGACGGGUGAGUAACACGUGGGUUAUCUACCUUUAAGUGGGGAAUACCGCUGAGAAAUCGGCGAUAAUACCGCAUAUCCUUCUUCGGAAGGAAAGUCGCAAGACGCUUGAAGA
rnacentral:rRNA from 1 species